rnacentral:rRNA from 1 species
ACGCUGGCGGCAGGCCUAACACAUGCAAGUCGAGCGGUAGAGAGAAGCUUGCUUCUCUUGAGAGCGGCGGACGGGUGAGUAAUGCCUAGGAAUCUGCCUGGUAGUGGGGGAUAACGUUCGGAAACGGACGCUAAUACCGCAUACGUCCUACGGGAGAAAGCAGGGGACCUUCGGGCCUUGCGCUAUCAGAUGAGCCUAGGUCGGAUUAGCUAGUUGGUGAGGUAAUGGCUCACCAAGGCGACGAUCCGUAACUGGUCUGAGAGGAUGAUCAGUCACACUGGAACUGAGACACGGUCCAGACUCCUACGGGAGGCAGCAGUGGGGAAUAUUGGACAAUGGGCGAAAGCCUGAUCCAGCCAUGCCGCGUGUGUGAAGAAGGUCUUCGGAUUGUAAAGCACUUUAAGUUGGGAGGAAGGGCAUUAACCUAAUACGUUAGUGUUUUGACGUUACCGACAGAAUAAGCACCGGCUAACUCUGUGCCAGCAGCCGCGGUAAUACAGAGGGUGGCAAGCGUUAAUCGGGAAUUACUGGGCGUAAAGCGCGCGUAGGUGGGUUUGUUAAGUUGGGAUGUGAAAUCCCCGGGCUCAACCUGGGAACUGCAUUCAAAACUGACUGACUAGAGUAUGGUAGAGGGUGGUGGAAUUUCCUGUGUAGCGGUGAAAUGC